AACGAACGCUGGCGGCAGGCCUAACACAUGCAAGUCGAGCGCGCCUUCGGGUGAGCGGCGGACGGGUUAGUAACGCGUGGGAACGUACCCUUCUCUACGGAAUAGCCUUUGGAAACGAAGAGUAAUACCGUAUACGCCCUUUGGGGGAAAGAUUUAUCGGAGAAGGAUCGGCCCGCGUUAGAUUAGAUAGUUGGUGGGGUAACGGCCUACCAAGUCUACGAUCUAUAGCUGGUUUUAGAGGAUGAUCAGCAACACUGGGACUGAGACACGGCCCAGACUCCUACGGGAGGCAGCAGUGGGGAAUCUUAGACAAUGGGCGCAAGCCUGAUCUAGCCAUGCCGCGUGAGUGAUGAAGGCCUUAGGGUCGUAAAGCUCUUUCGCCUGUGAUGAUAAUGACAGUAGCAGGUAAAGAAACCCCGGCUAACUCCGUGCCAGCAGCCGCGGUAAUACGGAGGGGGUUAGCGUUGUUCGGAAUUACUGGGCGUAAAGCGCACGUAGGCGGAUUGGAAAGUUGGGGGUGAAAUCCCGGGGCUCAACCCCGGAACUGCCUCCAAAACUAUCAGUCUAGAGUUCGAGAGAGGUGAGUGGAAUUCCAAGUGUAGAGGUGAAAUUCGUAGAUAUUUGGAGGAACACCAGUGGCGAAGGCGGCUCACUGGCUCGAUACUGACGCUGAG
rnacentral:rRNA from 1 species